rnacentral:rRNA from 1 species
GAUGAACGCUGGCGGCGUGCCUAAUACAUGCAAGUCGAACGCUGGAACUCUAGCUUGCUAGAUUGAAGGAGUGGCGAACGGGUGAGUAAUACAUAAGCAACCUACCCACGAAGACUGGGAUAAUCUCUGGAAACGGGGACUAAUACCGGAUAGGUAAUCGGAAGGCAUCUUCUUAUUAUUAAAGGUUAAAAACACUGGUGGAUGGGCUUAUGGCGCAUUAGUUAGUUGGUGAGGUAACGGCCCACCAAGACGAUGAUGCGUAGCCGGCCUGAGAGGGUGAACGGCCACAUUGGGACUGAGACACGGCCCAGACUCCUACGGGAGGCAGCAGUAGGGAAUUUUCGGCAAUGGGGGAAACCCUGACCGAGCAACGCCGCGUGAGUGAUGACGGCCUUCGGGUUGUAAAGCUCUGUUGUAAGGGAAGAACGGUAGAUAGAGAAUAUCUAAAUGACGGUACCUUACCAGAAAGCCACGGCUAACUACGUG